CGCAUCUGUGCAUGCAGCAUAUCAAUAAGCGGAGGAAAAGAAACUAACAAGGAUUCCCCUAGUAACGGCGAGUGAAGCGGGAAGAGCUCAAAUUUGGAAUCUUAAAGGGUUUCCCUUUACGAAUUGUAGUUUAAAGAAGUGUUUUCUGUUGAGGUUUUGGUAAAAGUUCUUUGGAAUAGGACAUCAUAGAGGGUGAGAAUCCCGUAUUUGACCUUUACUUUCAACUUUGCGAUACACUUUCAAAGAGUCGGAUUGUUUGGGAAUGCAGUCCAAAAUGGGUGGUAAAUUUCAUCUAAAGCUAAAUAUUGGCGAGAGACCGAUAGCGAACGAGUACCGUGAGGGAAAGAUGAAAAGAACUUUGAAAAGAGAGUUAAACAGUACGUGAAAUUGCCAAAAGGGAAGCGUUUGACACCAGUGUUGUUUUUCUGAAAAUCAAUUAAAGAACUGUUUAUGCUAAGUUGUUUAGACUUUAUCAGCUAACUGUUUAGUUUUGAGCUUUUCCUUAAUGCACUUUUCAGUUUAACAAGUCAACAUCAAUUUCUUUUGUUGUAAAAAGGUCAUUGAGGAAGGUGGCUUGCGCUUCGUAUAAGUGUUUAUAGCCUCUUGAUCUCUGCAGUCGGAGAGACUGAGGUCUGCAGCGUAGAUCCUUCGGGGUUAAAUACAUUUGUGCUAAGCUAGCUAGCUUUUCAUAGACAACUUGUUAACUAUGUUUAGUCAUUGGGACUUACCUCGCUUAGUGCUAGUUUUACCUACGCUUAGGAUGUUGAUAUGCAUGACUGAUAU
rnacentral:rRNA from 1 species